CGCACCCAUGCUCAGUACGGCGAGUGAAGCGGCAAAAGCUCAAAUUUUAAAGCUGGCACCUUCGGUGUCCGCGUUGUAAUUUUGUGAGGCAUCUCCGGGUAGGGCGCCGGCCUAAGUUCCUUGGAACAGGACGUCAUAGAGGGUGAGAAUCCCGUGCUUGGCUGGCUGUCCCCGUCCAUGUGAGGUGUCUUCGACGAGUCGAGUUGUUUGGGAAUGCAGCUCAAAAUGGGUGGUAAAUUUCAUCUAAAGCUAAAUAUUGGUGGGAGACCGAUAGCGCACAAGUAGAGUGAUCGAAAGAUGAAAAGCACUUUGAAAAUAGAGUUAAAAAGUACGUGAAAUUGUUGAAAGGGAAGCGCUUGAGACCAGACUUCGGUGGGGGGUGAUCAGCUGUCCUUCUGGGCGGUGCACUUGCUCCCCUCCGGGCCAGCAUCGGUUGGGGCGGCGGGAUAAAGAUCCCGGGAAUGUGGCUCCUUUCGGGGAGUGUUAUAGCCCGGGUGAAUGCCGCCAGUUCCGACCGAGGACCGCGCCUUCGGGCUAGGAUGCUUGGCAUAAUGGUCUUCAGCGACCCGUCUUGACACCGGACCA
rnacentral:rRNA from 1 species